rnacentral:rRNA from 1 species
GCGUAACGCGUAUGCAACCUACCUCUUACUGGGGAAUAGCCCGAAGAAAUUCGGAUUAAUGCCCCAUAUGCUCGUACGGCCUCAUGGUCGAGCGAGGAAAGCUCCGGCGGUAAGAGAUGGGCAUGCGUCCUAUUAGCUUGUUGGUGAGGUAAUGGCUCACCAAGGCUACGAUAGGUAGGGGGCCUGAGAGGGUGACCCCCCACACUGGUACUGAGACACGGACCAGACUCC